rnacentral:rRNA from 1 species
UACGAGGGGGGCGAGCGUUGUUCGGAAUUAUUGGGCGUAAAGGGUGCGUAGGCGGUUCCGCAAGUCCUGUGUGAAAUCUUCGGGCUCAACUCGAAGUCUGCACGGGAAACUGCGGGGCUUGAGUGUGGGAGAGGUGAGUGGAAUUCCCGGUGUAGCGGUGAAAUGCGCAGAUAUCAGGAGGAACACCAAUGGCGAAGGCAGCUCGCUGGGACGUGACUGACGCUGAGACGCGAAAGCGUGGGGAGCAAACAGG